AAUAUUGGGCAAUGGGCGGAAGCCUGACCCAGUCACGCCGCGUGAGGGAUGAAGGCCUUCUGUUUGUAAAUCUCUUUGUGGAGGAAAGAAAAAUCCGGGUUCGAAUAGGGCAUGGACUUGACGGUACAUUAUUAGCAAGCCCCGGCCACACCUGUGCCAGCAGCCGGGGGAAGGCAGAGGGUGCAAACGUUGCUCGGAAUUACUGGGCGUAAAGGGCGCGUAGGCGGAUUUGAAAGUCGGGUGUGAAAUCCCUGGGCUCAACCUAGGAACUGCAUUCGAAACUCCAAGUCUAGAGUGACGGAGAGGAAAGCGGAAUUCCCGGUGUAGAGGUGAAAUUCGUAGAUAUCGGGAGGAACACCAGAGGCGAAGGCGGCUUUCUGGACGUCUACUGACGCUGAGGUGCGAAAGCGUGGGGAGCAAAC
rnacentral:rRNA from 1 species